rnacentral:rRNA from 1 species
GAUGAACGCUGGCGGCGUGCCUAAUACAUGCAAGUCGAGCGAACAGACGAGGAGCUUGCUCCUCUGACGUUAGCGGCGGACGGGUGAGUAACACGUGGAUAACCUACCUAUAAGACUGGGAUAACUUCGGGAAACCGGAGCUAAUACCGGAUAAUAUAUUGAACCGCAUGGUUCAAUAGUGAAAGACGGUUUUGCUGUCACUUAUAGAUGGAUCCGCGCCGCAUUAGCUAGUUGGUAAGGUAACGGCUUACCAAGGCGACGAUGCGUAGCCGACCUGAGAGGGUGAUCGGCCACACUGGAACUGAGACACGGUCCAGACUCCUACGGGAGGCAGCAGUAGGGAAGCUUCCGCAAUGGGCGAAAGCCUGACGGAGCAACGCCGCGUGAGUGAUGAAGGUCUUCGGAUCGUAAAACUCUGUUAUUAGGGAAGAACAAAUGUGUAAGUACUAUGCACGUCUUGAUGGUACCUAAUCAGAAAGCCACGGCUAACUACGUG